rnacentral:rRNA from 1 species
GACGAACGCUGGCGGCGUGCUUAACACAUGCAAGUCGAACGGAAAGGCCCUGCUUUUGUGGGGUGCUCGAGUGGCGAACGGGUGAGUAACACGUGAGUAACCUGCCCUUGACUUUGGGAUAACUUCAGGAAACUGGGGCUAAUACCGGAUAGGAGCUCCUGCUGCAUGGUGGGGGUUGGAAAGUUUCGGCGGUUGGGGCUGGACGCGCGGCUUAUCAGCUUGUUGGUGGGGUAGUGGCUUACCAAGGCUUGGACGGGUAGCCGGCCUGAGAGGGUUACCGGCCACAUUGGGACUGAGAUACGGCCCAGACGCCUACGGGAGGCAGCAGUGGGGAAUAGUGCGCAAUGGGCGGGAGCCUGAUGCAGCAACGCCGCGUGCGGGAUGACGGCCUUCGGGUUGUGAACCGCUUUCGCCUGUGACGAAGCGUGAGUGACGGUAAUGGGUAAAGAAGCACCGGCUAACUACGUG